ACACCCAUUACCCAAACUCCACUUAGGGGCACUUUAGUAACUUCACAAUCUUAAGUUGCUAACUGCUGACCUCCCAACCAUAUUUUUCUACCACCACUCAACCAUUUUCUUGUAACUCUCAAUUUCAUAAUAUUUCUCUUAUAAUUCAAACACUAGAAAAACCGAAAGAAAGUUAAUCAAACAAAUUUCCCAAAAAGAAUUCAUAUUAAAAAUUUGUUUUCCGAUUAGGGUUUGGAGUUAAAACAGAGCCUCUGUUUCACUCUGUUUCAUCAAGCAACCGUGUGAUAAAAUUCGAUUCGUAUUCCAAAGGGUUCAAUUUCAAGUCUCUGUUUCAUCAAGAAACUGUGUGAUCAGAUUCGAUUCGUAUUCCAAAGGGUUUAAUUUCAAGUUUCUCUGUUUCAUCAAGAAACUGUGUGAUCAGAUUCGAUUCGUAUUCUAGAGAUGAACUACCAAUCAACUACUCCAAGAAGCAAUAGACCCAAGGGAUUCAUGGCUAAGCACAUGCUUCAAUUUGCACUAUUUGCAGCCUUCAGCCUGUGGUUACUCUACCAAAUCCGACAGCCAACUGGCGAAGUUGGGGCCGGGAGCCAACUCAGCAACGACCGUCUCUCCAACUUUAUGGGCCGAAAGGGGAGUGCGGGAUUGUCAAAGUCAACCGUUAACCCUCACUCGGGUUUGACUUUAGAAGAUGUGACAAACCCGGGUGAAGAGGGCGAGAUUCCACAAUACUCCAAAGAAAUCGAGUCCGUAGAGUUUCAUACCAAUACGGGCUCUUCAAAAGAAGGAAAUGACCAGAAUACCCUUUUACAAGAAGAAUCUUUGACCAUGAAAAAGUCAAACAUUAGUUUUCCUGAUGAGAAUGGAAUUCCCCAACAUGUUCGUGACAAGUUUAUUGGGAAAGAGUCGAAUAACGCGGUCAACAACACCCGUGUUAAAAGUCAAAGUCAAAGUCAAAGUGUGAUUGCAACGCGUGUGGGUAAAGGAAGAAACGGGGCGGUAGAAGAAUCUUGAUUGGGCUCGUAUUACUCGUGGAUUCGGUCUUUUUGUACAGAUAAUGCAAGUAGAUACCGAUCUUAUUGUUUAGCUCAUGCUGGUAUAAACAAAGUUACUGAUAUCAAAAGUUUUUGGGUACUAUUUUUCUAUAUAUAUGUCGUUUAUUAUA